rnacentral:rRNA from 1 species
GAUGAACGCUGGCGGCGUGCCUAAUACAUGCAAGUCGAGCGAACAGACGCUGCUCUUGCUCCUCUGACGUUAGCGGCGGACGUGUGAGUAACACGUGUAUACCCUCCCUAUCAUACUGGGAUAAUUUCGGGAAACCGGCUCUAAUCCCGUAUAAUCUCUUGCACCGUAUGGUUCAAUAGUGAAAGUCGGUUUUGCUGUCUCUUAUCGCUGGAUCCGCGCCGCUUUAGCUAGUUGUUAAGUUAAUGGCCUACCACGGCAACGAUGCGUAGACGACCUGAGAGAGGGAUCGGCGACACUGGAACGGAGACACGGACAAGACGACUAAGGGAGGCAGCAGUAGGGAAUCUGACGCAAUGGGCGAAAGCUUGACGGAGCAACGCGGCGUGAGUGAUAAAGGUCUUGGGAGCGUAAAAAUCUGUUAUUAGGGAAGAACAAAUGUGUAAGUAAAUAUGCACGGAUUGACGGUACCUAAUCAGAAAGCAACGGCUAACUACGUG